rnacentral:rRNA from 1 species
AUACGUAGGGUGCGAGCGUUGUCCGGAAUGAUUGGGCGUAAAGGGCGCGUAGGCGGCCUGUUAAGUCUGGAGUGAAAGUCCUGUUUUCAAGAUGGGAAUUGCUUUGGAUACUGAUGGGCUUGAGUGCAGGAGAGGUUAUCGGAAUUCCCGGUGUAGCGGUGAAAUGCGUAGAGAUCGGGAGGAACACCAGUGGCGAGGGCGGCCUGCUGGACGACAACUGACGCUGAGGCGCGAAAGCGUGGGGAGCAAACAGGAUUAGAUACCCUGGUAGUCCACGCUGUAAACGAUGAAUACUAGGUGUGGGGGGACUGACCCCCUCCGUGCCGCAGUUAACACAAUAAGUAUUCCACCUGGGGAGUACGAUCGCAAGAUUGAAACUCAAAGGAAUUGGCGGGG